GUCCCUGGGGCGCAAUGGAUAGCGCGUUGGGCUUCUAAUCAUAAAGGGCGUAGGUUCAAAUUCUACCUGGGAUG